CCUACGGGUGGCAGCAGUGGGGAAUAUUGCACAAUGGGGGAAACCCUGAUGCAGCGACGCCGCGUGAGUGAAGAAGUAAUUCGGUAUGUAAAGCUCUAUCAGCAGGGAAGAAAAUGACGGUACCUGAGCAAGAAGCCCCGGCUAACUACGUGCCAGCAGCCGCGGUCAUACGUAGGGCGCAAGCGUUAUCCGGAUUUACUGGGGGUAAAGGGAGCGUAGACGGCAGUGCAAGUCUGGAGUGAAAGGCCGGGGCUCAACCCCCGGACUGCUCUGGAAACUGGACGGCUGGAGUGCAGGAGAGGUAAGUGGAAUGCCUGGUGUAGCGGUGAAAUGCGUAGAUAUUAGGAGGAACACCAGUGGCGAAGGCGGCUUACUGGCCUGUAACUGACGUUGAGGCUCGAAAGCGUGGGGAGCAAACAGGAUUAGAUACCCGGGUAGUC
rnacentral:rRNA from 1 species